rnacentral:rRNA from 1 species
AUGCCUUCCCAGCUUCCCUUCCUCACGAAGCAACCUCGCGUUUCCUCUCUUCCUCCCUUCCCUAGGUUGCCGCCGCCCCCGUCCCCGCCCCCGCCCCAUCAGUGCAUCGCAGCUCCUCCGUCGUCCGCCACCAGAGAAACUCCUUCGUCGACCGCCACCAGAGAAAGCGCCCUCCUCAGAUCCACCUCUCCCCAAACCAUCCAUCAUGGUUGCAGAGGAGGGGGAGAAAGGGGAUGCCAUCGAGGUGCGGACAGAGGCCCUGCCUCGGGGCGGCGAGUUGCAGAGGAGAUUCUUUGGUCGUUUUACGCGAGGUGGGUCUGGAGAUGCGCCACAGUGGCGCGGCGUGGGUUUGCGUGCGUGCGUUGGGCGGCAGGUGGUCAAAGAACGUGGUGGCGCAGUCGCGUAACUCGAUCCCUCCACUACGCCGAGAAGCCAUACAAUGAAGCUCUCAUUCCUAUUAACAGAUUCCACAAGGAUUUUUCUCACACAAACUCAUUUGCUGGUAUCAGAUUACAUUUGGUCGCUCCAAUAGUAGGAAAACAGGACUUUGGAGGAUGUUUGCUUAGUGCAAACCCGCUUCUCAUUUUCACUGAUGCUCGACAUUAUCAAACAUGGAUUGGUCAAGGAUUCUGCAAUGUUUGCUUGAAAUUUGCUCUGGAGAUCCAUGGUGCUAGGGUUAGUGCCGCCGCCGCUGCUGCCGCCCUUCCCGCCCUCGUGCGCUCUCCAUCUCCGGUCGGGAGCUCCACCUCCUCCAAUCCCUGCCUAAGGCAGCUGGGGACGAGAUCUGCCUGCAGAGGUUGUUGCUUUACCAUCACUGUUCUUGUGUCGUGCCUAAUGGUAAGGGAUAUUGAAAUAUGGAUACCACAAAUUAAAGUGACAUUGGUGAUUCACACCGACAAGCCAUAUGAUGGAGUAUGGGAGGCUUUAGAUGUGGCUGCAUGGAAGCGUUUGUCAAGUUGGUCAGUGACCAGUUCUGCUCGCUGUUUUCAGCCUGCUCCACGACUGAAGGAUUUGCUCAAAGCAAAGGCGUCUAGCCGGGAUACAUAUGAUGAAGCUACAAUGGUUAACUUGCUAUAUGGUACAGGUUCUAGCUUAUUAGUUGCUAACCUGCAAAGAGGUAGUACCAAGCAUGAUCUCUGGUUUGCCAUUCUAUUAUUGCCGUUGUUUUCUUGGGAGUACUUCAGAAGGUGCAGUUGGGAAGGUGAGGACACGCCAUGGCAGAGGCGCGUGGUUGGCAAGAGGAAUAUGGACAUGAAGGUUAAAGCCAUAAUCAAACUUAUCAAUGAAGAUGUUGAUUCUUUUGGAAGGAGAGCGGAGAUGUACCAAAAUAUUUUUUCUUUCGGUGGGAAAGGAGCCGUCAAAUCUCAAGAAGUUCAAAGGUUGACUGUAGAGAUCAACAUGGCAAAUGAAAAAUGGGAUGCGCUCAUGCAGAGCAAGAUGCACCAAGAGAGCGCUAUUCGUGAGCUGAAGAUGGAAAUCGGGAGCCUCACUGAACAAAAUCACUCUUCCGAGCUGCUUAUACAACAACUCCGUGCCUGCUUGUGUACAAAUGUAUUGAUGCGUGUCUUCCCUAGAUUGCUUUGGGUUUGCGCAUGUGCUGCUAUUGAUCAAUGGCUGCUGAGUUUCAACAUUGUUUUCACGUUCUUCACAAAUGCACUGAUGCCUGUGCCGCCCUCCUCCUCCUUCCGCUGCCGCCGAAGCCACCACCUCCUCUCUCGCCGUCGCGCCCGCACCGCCGCAUCCAUGUUGCAGCCCGACACCGACGCGACGAACCAGGCGCUGGCCGCCGCCAAGGAGCGCCAGGACGCCGAGGCCGCCAAGGCCAAGCUGCCUCUCGCAACUGCCGUCGAUGGAUCCGGGACGAGCGCGGGGUCUUUCUCCUUGACCUCGCUGCACGCCCAGGCCGUCGGCCUCCACUCCAUCAAAGGCCACGUUCCCGUCGAGCUCGCGCUCGACACCGGCGUUCACCGGCAGUGGCGCACCUUCUUCCGCGCCGCCUGUCGCAAAUACGCCCUCCUGGAUCACCUCGACUUCGAUGCUCCCGAUGCGCCGAACCCGGAGUGGUCUCUCCUCGAUGCCACCGUCGUCUCUUGGCUCUAUGGGUCUGUCUCGCUCAGUAUCCUCGACGCCAUCAUGAUGCCCGGCGACGAUCCCCUCGCUGUCGAUCUCUGGAACAGCAUCAACGGUCUCUUCAACGACCACAAGAUCAAUCGUCAACUCCACCUCACGGCCGAGCUCGGCGAUGUCAAGAUGGGAGAGAUGAGUAUGGCCGACUAUCUUCAGAAGGUCAAGUCCCUCUCCGAUGGGCUAGCGGAUCUUGGUGCCCCCGUUGAUGAUGCCGAGAUGGUGGUCCACUGCCUCAACGGCCUCUCCGAGCAAUACGGUUAUAUAUUCUAA